UGUGAGGAUGGGGCUGCGGUGGAUUAGGUAGUUGGCGGGGUAAAGGCCCACCAAGCCGAUGAUCCAUAAGGGCUCUUAGCGGAGAGGCCUGAGAGGGAAUCUGAGACACUAUUCCCAGCCCUACGGGGUGCAGCAGUCGGGAAACUUCUGCAAUGCGCGAAAGCGUGACAGAGCAAGCCAACGUGUUAUUUUCUAUUAUGUAAAUAUCUUUUGUGUGCUGUAAAAAGGCAUACGAAUAAGGACUGGGAGAGACGGGUGCCAGCCGCCGCGGUAAUCCCCGCAGUCCAAGUCGCAACCACAUUUGUUGGGUCUAAAACAUCCGUAGCUUGCUUAGUAAGUCUCUUGUGAAAUCCCACCUCUUAAGGGUGGACGUGCAAGAGAUACUGCAAAGCUUGAGACCGGGAGACGUAAUGAGUACAGACAGGGUACCGGUAAAAUGGGUUGAUCCUCUCUGGACUAACAAUCGCGAAGGCACAUUACGAGCACGGAUCUGACAGUGAGGGAUGAAGGCUAGGGGCGCAAAGUGGAUUAGAUACCCAUGUAGUCCUAGCAGUAAACACUGCACACUGAACAUUAGGGCCUCCUCGAGA
rnacentral:rRNA from 1 species